UACGUAGGGUGCGAGCGUUGUUCGGAAUUACUGGGCGUAAAGGGCGCGUAGGCGGCCUUCUAAGUCGAACGUGAAAUCCCCGGGCUCAACCCGGGAACUGCGUCCGAUACUGGAAGGCUUGAAUCCGGGAGAGGGAUGCGGAAUUCCAGGUGUAGCGGUGAAAUGCGUAGAUAUCUGGAGGAACACCGGUGGCGAAGGCGGCAUCCUGGACCGGCAUUGACGCUGAGGCGCGAAAGCUAGGGGAGCGAACGGG
rnacentral:rRNA from 1 species